UGAGGAAUAUUGGUCAAUGGGCGGAAGCCUGAACCAGCCAUCCCGCGUGAAGGAAGGCGGCCCUAUGGGUUGUAAACUUCUUUAGUACAUGAAGAACAGGAUCUACGCGUAGGUUUAUGACGGUAAUGUACAAAAAAGCAUCGGCUAACUCCGUGCCAGCAGCCGCGGUAAUACGGAGGAUGCGAGCGUUAUCCGGAUUCAUUGGGUUUAAAGGGUACGUAGGUGGCCCUGUAAGUCAGUGGUGAAAAUCUGCCGCUUAACGGUAGGGGUGCCAAUGAUACUGCGGGGCUUGAGUACAGUUGAGGUAGGUGGAAUGUGUAGUGUAGCGGUGAAAUGCAUAGAUAUUACACAGAACUCCGAUUGCGAAGGCAUCUUACUAAGCUGAAACUGACACUGAUGUACGAAAGCGUGGGGA
rnacentral:rRNA from 1 species